rnacentral:rRNA from 1 species
AUGCAAGUCGAGCGAAGUUUUUCUGGUGCUUGCACUAGAAAAACUUAGCGGCGAACGGGUGAGUAACACGUAAAGAACCUGCCUCAUAGACGGGGACAACUAUUGGAAACGAUAGCUAAUACCGGAUAACAGCAUAAAUCGCAUGAUAUAUGUUUAAAAGUUGGUUUCGGCUAACACUAUGAGAUGGCUUUGCGGUGCAUUAGCUAGUUGGUGGGGUAAAGGCCUACCAAGGCGACGAUGCAUAGCCGACCUGAGAGGGUGAUCGGCCACACUGGGACUGAGACACGGCCCAGACUCCUACGGGAGGCAGCAGUAGGGAAUCUUCCGCAAUGGGCGAAAGCCUGACGGAGCAACGCCGCGUGAGUGAAGAAGGAUUUCGGUUCGUAAAGCUCUGUUGUUAGGGAAGAAUGAUUGUAUAGUAACUAUAUACAGUAGAGACGGUACCUAACCAGAAAGCCACGGCUAACUACGUGCCAGCAGCCGCGGUAAUACGUAGGUGGCAAGCGUUGUCCGGAAUUAUUGGGCGUAAAGCGCGCGCAGGUGGUUUAAUAAGUCUGAUGUGAAAGCCCACGGCUCAACCGUGGAGGGUCAUUGGAAACUGUUAAACUUGAGUGCAGGAGAGAAAAGUGGAAUUCCUAGUGUAGCGGUGAAAUGCGUAGAGAUUAGGAGGA